UUGGAGCCUCCCGAGGGGCCUCGCGAGAAACAGAUGUGUACUGUAUCUUCCCGGAUUUGAUGGCUGCUGGGGUCGAGGGGGUCGCUGUGGUUCCUGUUUAUUUCCUCUGGCAGUGGUUUUCUAAUUUAAGCACCUCUGUCUCCUGGCUACAGUAGCCUGCUGUGAUGCAGAGUUGGGGGGGGGGGAGGCGGAAGAAAAAGGAGGAUGGUGGUGGCAUGCCCCGUAGCUACUAAGCCUGGUGCCUAAAAAGGGCAUGCUGGGUUUUAAUCGGUACACCUCUGCGUGCACCCUCCCAGGCUGACUUUACUCUUUGUGUUUUCUUUGUAGAGGCAUCUGCUGUGCAGAAGCAACACAGAGUGAAGGUCUUUUCUUUUGUUACCGGCACUGAAAGGUGAUGCAGGAGUUGACCAUAUGUAAAGAUAUCUGCAUUGUGUUGUCCAUACACUGCUGCUAAUUGGAACCAUCAGCAUGCUGUUAAAGUAAUAAGGAACUGCUGUGAUUGUUCCAUUCACUUCAUUCAUGUACCUCCUUUUCUUUUUGGCACAGAUAGGCAUAAAUUAUUCCCAUGUCCCCUAGUAAAACCAAUGUGGUGGCCUGAGCAACAAAUGUAUUUGGUUUCUCUGUGAACACCAGAGGUUUUUGCUCUGAUAUUAUUUUACAUUUUUUAAAUUUUCCAGACUUCUGCCUUGUUGUAAAGCAUUGGACAGCUUUGGAUUCUCAGAGCUAUGUAUGCUUUUUUCAAUUACAUGCGUUUUGCUAGAUUUGUGAUUCAAACCUAUAAUGUUUCAGUGGCGUCAAAUCAACACUAGUAGUGUAUCAGACACAUGAAAAUGUAAUAUUUCUGAAGAAAAAGGAAUCUGAGGAUGAUACACAAGAGACAUUUUUCACUUAUAAAAAUUACAUGGACUAUUACUGGUUUGAGGAUGAAAAGUUGGUAUAUGCAAAUACAAUAAAAUAUGCAUCUCUUUCAAA